CUUGCUCCUGUUUGUCAGUGCUUGGGUUUUGGUAUUAUUCGUGGAGUGGAUAUGCAAGAAAGACAACUCUACGUGAUUUCACCGCUACCUGAAAGUGAGAUCCAGAAAGUCAACUGCCUGGUAAUGGGAACAGUACAGUUACCUUCAAGUGUCCUGCUUAGGGAAGCCACUUGUGGCAUUGUUGGUCAUAUCCCAUACACUGUCAUUGGACCAGGCCAACCCACAGGCAGGCUUUCACAAAAAUCAUCUUACCAUUUGCUAUUGUCAUCUGCAGUUGAACUGUAAUGUUAUGGAAAUAAAACUGCAAAGGUGUAAAAUGGUUCAGAUACUGUGGCAGCUUUAAUACAUCUUCUAAUCAUUGUUUUGUAUUUUUGUAACAAGACCUGAAUAUUGCACAUACUAGACUUUCAUGUUUUUCCUAAUUUUGCAGUGACAUUAAGUUAGUGUUUUACUCAGCUUGUCAGACAAAUUGCUGUUGCAAAAUACUUACCAUGUGCCACUGUUUAUGGCACAAACCUUCUGCGAUACAAAUUGUUUUAUCAUAAGGUAAAAGGGGCAAAUUAAAAAAAUGGCAUUUGA